rnacentral:lncRNA from 1 species
AUCAAAGAAGAAGCCAUCUUUGUAGAUACAUUUAUAGAUUUCUCCAUCAGAGGUAAAUUUUUCAGGAAUUUUUUUUUUUUAAUAUUCAAGGCUCGAGGUUGAGGCAAAACCAAAUAUUAGGAUUGGCAUGUGAGACAGAUCCUGCAAACUGGAAGUUGCAGGUUUAAAAAGAACUGACAAUUCUGAAGGAAAAUGUCUCUGCUUCAAUACAUCAGGAGUCUGGGGUUCCUUUCAGGGGUUACUAGACAAUUUGCAGAUAAGUAGGAAGGCAGUCAUGGAAAUAUAGUUCGGCUGGCCUGCUCUUCCUUCAUAACUCAUUAAUGCCAUGGAUUCUUUAUGGGGCAUCCAUUAGGACUAUACACUAAUAACUGUUUAAUCCCACUACACCCAAUUAUAGAUCCCUCUUAACCAGUGUCUGCCUCCCUUUCUCUCUCGCCCUCUGAAUUAUGUCUCAUAAAAUAGAAUAUGCUAACUGAGAGGAUUAAAAAGACAACAAACCGCUCUCUUCCCAAUAUUAACAAUUACAAAUAGUAACUAUCAGGUAACAGAAACAGCCAGAGAGUGGGCUGAAGUGGAUAAUGAAGUACAAAGGGGAGGGCCGGUCCCCCACUCCACCUCCUAGCCUUAAUCACCCCACACCUGACAAAAGAGAAGCCCCUGCUCGCCAGAAUGAAACUACAUAAACACCCAAGAUUUUAGGAAACUCCCCAUUUUAGAACUCGAAUCCUUCCACCGCAUCUCCAUGGACUCUUCGGAGGGAGUGUCUGAGCAAAAGAAUGGAUUGUCUGCAAACUUUUAUCUUCGCUCUUGCCUCUAGAGUUGUGCUAUUUAAUUAUUAAAAAUGUGGUAUUAAUGAAACAUGCAAUCCUGGAAAGGCAACUACUUUUAUCAUGGCACAUGAAAGGCGAAAAUUUAAUAUGCUGAAUAUACUGUGUACACACUACAAAUGUAUUUGCAUCUACCUUCCAAAGAGCAAGCCCCCCCCCCAGCUCCCCCCUCCCCUCCUUUCCAGCUGCUCAAUCUGCAAGAAUGUGCAGAAGUAAUUUCUCUGAAAUGGCCACUAUUGUUCUUGAUUCUGAUUUGAUUCCAAAAAAGCCAAAUAAUAGAAACCAUUCUGAACGUCUAUUCUGUGCACCUGUUGUGCCGCAUUAUGAUACUCUGCGAUUUCCAUUUACGUCACAUCUCUUGACAUGCCUUUGAUACGCCAUGCUGCUUUGCUCGACAAAAAUCCAGGAUGCUAGACACCAAAGCCAUCCUUAUUUUAUUAACAAAAUGGCAAUGGCGCAUGCUCCUGAAGGAGAGGUUUGGAAGCAAAGCGGAGCCCGUUGAUCUGACCACAGCCAGACUCCCCUGAACUGACGAUAAGUAGAUUUAAAGUAGCUGAACAGCUGGGAGCGGCGCAAACCUACCAGAUAUUAAUAUCGUUAGUGAUUCUGUUACUCCGGAAAAAACAAAAGGACCUUGGUAGUUCCAUUUUUUUCUUUUUCCCCUUUUUGCUUUGGUCCUUGGAUGCCCUGUGAGUUGAGAAUCUGAAUAGUUUUUCCGGCUCGGCUCCAUGGGUGGGCUGGUUUCUUUGUUGAUCAACUCAGGAAGGCAUAGGAUUCAGCCCGAUGCCGCUUGCUUGCAAUGGUGCAGCAUCACCCUGAUUUGCAUGUCAAUAUCAUGGCUUCGACAUUUCCAACUCUUCCUUAGUAAGCUCUUACCUGAGCUACUCUGUACCAGGACACCAUGAUUAUGGGAAGACUUACAGUGACCCAGAAGGGUUGGUUGUGGUAGUUAGUGGUGGCUAAGGGGACCACUGGCUUUGCCUAGUGCUGAAGGAUCCAUGGAUGUUGAAGUCACAGGAUACCUAAACCACCUUGGCUGUCUUUCGAGUUUGUGAACAAGCGUCUUCCACACUAAGCAGAGUCAGGUAGAUGCUCCUAACGCCCAAGUCGCCUUGGUCACCUUCACUUAUGUCAAAUGAUGAGAAUGUCCGGGUCUAUGGCUUGGACAUUAUCCUCUUAAAGUGAAAGUGUCCAGAAGUGUGGAGUGGCUCCUAGGUGGUAUUCGGGAAUCAUGCAAAGGAAUUCCUUUCAGAAAUCUGAGAAAGGUGAAAAUUGUCUGGCCCAGAGAAUCUUAGUGUGAAAGGGGAGCUGUAAGAUCAAAUCUGGCUCAGUCUUAAUGUAGGAAUCAAUCCCUCCUCGACAUCUCUGACAGGUGGUCUUCUAGGUUCUGUGUGAACUUUCUACUGAAGGGCAAAGCCCAAAAGUCAGUGCCAGGGAGUUCCCAUCACGGCUCAGGGGUUAAUGAACCCGAUUCACAUCCAUGAGGAUGCAGGUUCGAUCCCUGUCAUUGCUCAGUGAGUUAAGGAUCAGGCAUUGCCGUGAGCUGUGAUGUAAAUCACAGAUGCAGCUCAGAUCCUUUGUUGUUGAGGCUGUGGUGUAGACUAGUGGCUGUAGCUCUGAUUGGACCCCUACUCUAGGAACCUCCAUAUGCCACAGGUGCGGCCCUAAAACGACAAAAAACAGAAACGUCACUUCACAUAUGUUUGGUUUAUGUCUUGAAAUUCUCAACCACUGUUAACAAGGUUCAUCUUUACCCAGCCCCACAAAUUACCAGUUAAUACUGAUGCCAUCUGUGAUUUAAGAUGAGGGACCUAGAAGAUCUCUUCACAGCAUGCUCUUUGAGGACUUCUUAUGCCAUAUAUAUGGCAAAAUAAAAUAAGGUUUUAUAUGUAUAUUUGACUCUCUCUCUAUAUAUAUGUCAUUGGAAUUACAUCAUGUUUUCUCAAACAAGUUUUUAUUACUUUAGUUUAAUUUGGGGUUUUUUUUAGGGCUGCACCCACAACCUUUGGAAGUUCCCAGGCUAGGGGUGAAAUCAGAGCUACAGCUGUCAGCCUACACUACAGCCACAGCAACUCAGGAUCUGAGCAGUGUCUGCGACUUACACCACAGCUCACAACAAUGCUGGAUCCUUAACCCACUGAGCGAGGCCAGGGAUUGAACCCAUGUCCUCAUGUAUACUAGCCAGUUUGUUUCCACUGAGCCAUGAUGGGAACUUCCACCAGUUUUUCACUCACAGUUAAAACAGUUUUUAACUCUUUUCCAUUGCCUUGUGUUCCCUCCCUCACCUCUGCCUUUGGGCCGCUUCAUUCAGGGGCUGCCAGGUCAAGGUGGGCACACAAAUUUGAAGAAGGCAAACCCUCUGAACUUCAGCAAGAUUGAGAGUCUCUCUCCCUUCCUUUUGCAGUACGAUCUCAAGUCCUCUCUUGUCAGUCAGGCAGAAGGACAUGUUUUGGCUAAGUUAAGCAGGGUCUAAGCUAAGGAGUAGCAUGAUGUUAGAACAUGUGGUUUGAAUGCUGAUUCAUCCACUCACUUUGGAUGCCUCGGCUUCCCCAUCUGGCCUGCCUACUUCCCAGGCUGUAGCCAAGCCUGAGCCAGAAUGAUGAAUGUUGACUAAGCCCAGGGCUUUGCUGAUCAGGACCCAGGGUUUCUCAGAGGCCAGCCUUGAGCUUUUGAUCCUUAUCCCCCGCAACACUUAGUUUCAGAGAACACAGAGAAAUACCUCAGAACCCGCCCCUACCCCCCAGACAGACCUGCGCACAAUGAAGGCAGGCCCGAGGCCAAAGAAAGGGAGCACAUAUCAUCUCACAGUCGUGGAAGAAAUGCUGCAAGGAGUUCCCAUCGUGGCUCAGCAGUUUGCAAACCCGACCUGCAUCCGUGAGGACAUGGGUUCUAUCCAUGGUCUUGCUCAGUGGGUUAAGGAUCCAGUGUUGCUAUAGCUGUGGCGUAGGCCGGCAGCUAUAGUUCUGGUCAGACCCCUAGCCUGGGAACCUUCAUAUGCUGCAGGUGCAGCCCUAAAAAGACAAAAAGACCAAAAAAAAAAAAAUAAAAGAAAUGCUGCCAAAAAUUUUUAAAGAAGAGCAAAGCUAUUGGCAUCUUUUUAGAUAGUGGGCCUUGAGCAUGAGUGGUCAUCAAAAGUGUCAGCUGUUCAAGUUGGGAAACUGAGCUCAGAGAGAGAGAGAAAGUACAAAACCCAGUCCAGCCUCAGCCAGGACAGUGUGUCUAGUCUGGAAGUGGGGCUUGCAGUGAAUAACUGAGAGAAGCUGGAACUCCAACAUGUGACUGCAACAUAAAUUGUCUCCUGAAAACCCAAUCUCAACACCCUACUGACAAGAAAACAAAGUGUGUUGGGAUACCACUCAUCUUCAAUCCCAAGGGACAAAAAUCACACUUUUUAUGAGAUAUGAAUAUCCCAUUCCCAUUCAAAAGCCUACUUCAGCAAACAUGGUGAAAAAUACGAUAAGAGGUCAUUGUUUGGUUAUUGCCAUAUUUAUUAUUGGUUGGGAAUUUUAUUGAUGCAUAAUGUCAGGUCUACUUUUUUUUCUACCAGUUGGUGAAAUGAAACUAAAUUAUAGUUAAAUUGUUUUGAUGUGGAGUUCCCACUGUGGCUCAGUGGGUUAAGGACUCAACAUUGUCUCCGUGAGGAUAUGGGUUUGAUCGUUGGCCUUGCUCUGUGGGUUAAGGAUCCAGCCUUGCCACAAGCUGCAGUGUAAGCCACAGAUGCAGCUCAAUUCCCGUUUUGCUAUGCUGUAGCAUAGGCUAGGAGCUGCCACUCUGAUUCUGUGCCUAGCCUGGAAAUUCCAUUUGCGGCCAGGGCAGCCAUAAAAAGAAAAGGAUUUUUUUUUUCAGUAAUAAAAAUUGAAGUAUUUCUUAAAGAAUAAAAUGAGAUAAUGUGCAUGAAAGUGCUUUGAACUUAAAUUUACAUAUAAGUAUUAUUAGCUUAAAAGUAAAUUGCAAUGUUUGGGUCUAGGAAAAAAAAAUCAUCCCCUAAUUGAAAAUAAGAAGUGAGCAUUUGGAUAUUUUAAUGAUGCAUAUACUAUUUUCAAGGUAAAUUUGAGUGACUUUGAAAAUUUUUCAGAAGUGCUGCCUUUUUCUUUUCUUCUCUUUUUGUCUUUUCAGGGCUAUACCCGCGGCAUAUGGAGGUUCCCGACUAGGGGUCGAAUCGGAGCUACAGCUGUCAGUCUACACCACAACAAGGGAUCUGAGCCACAUCUGUAGCCUACACCAAAGCUCAAGGCAAUGCUGAAUCCUUAACCCACUGAGCAAGGCUAGGGAACGAACCUGCGUCCUCAUAGAUACAAGUUGGGUUCAUUAACCAUUGAGCCAGGCCAGGAACUCCAGAAAUGCUGUCUUUUUCCACAGUGAAAACUUUUGGGUGUUUGUUUCAGAUGAAUGACUUUGCUCAAAUUCCAUAUUUUGACUUUAAGAUGCCAUAGCUGGCGAUAUGGGGAUUUCUGAGACCACAAACUCACACAAUCUUUACCAGGCGAGGCUAUUCACCAGAAACCUUCACAUUCAUGAAAGCAAAUCCCUUGUGUCCUUAUCUAGAAAAUUUAGUUUGUCAUCUAUCAACCUCUCUUGUCAACCUGGCCAAGACUGGAGAAAAGAAAGACACAGUAUUUCUGUACCUCACCUCUACCCUGGUAUCACUUUUCUUUGGCUUAUGAGAUAAACAUUGUGCCCAUUUUCUGGGCAUUGGCUGCAGCCUAGGGUUUAGGAUACACUUGCCAGCUGCCCAGACCUGGAGUUCACAGUGGAUGCCCCAGGUUCUCUCUAAAUACUCUUCCUAUUAUAUAAGCAUCACAUGGAUCUGUUUCAAGCCAAGAGUCACAGCAAUGGAGUGCAUGGAAGUGUUAGAACUCGGAGCCAUAUUUCCUCAUGUACAAUCACGAGUUUCUGAAGAAUUUCUUCCCCACCAGAUAAAAAAAGGUAGUUUUCUUUUCUUUCUGAAAAAUGUUCAUGUGUGAAACCAAUUGGUAGAAGUGAGAUAUUUCUAUUGACUGAUGUAGACGAUGGUGAUUUUGUAAUCAAGGAAAACAUUAAACUCAUAAACACGGAAAAAAUUUACCACGCGCAAGAAGUGGAAAACUGGAACAGGGCAUGUCAUACGUAAGGCACAAUUUUAAUCUUUUCUCUUAACUCUCUCACUUCUGGCAUGCAUAAUUUUUGGAAGAGAAACUGAAACCCUGCAUUAUAUUUAUCUUUUCUUGCCCCAAAUUCUUUUUGCUGAAGUCCAAAGAUAACUAACCAUUAGUGACUAGAAAGUUAGAGUGAAAAUGGAGGAAGAGCAGUGCCUGUUGAGGUUCUACUUGGAGAGACUUGUUUUGCUUCAUACAAAGUUUUGGGGCACAAGGGCCCUCUGUCACCUUCAUAUGACCUCUAGCCUCCUCCGUGCCACCUCCAGUAACAAGAGGAUAUUAAGCUUUUGAUGCCUGAUUUCUACCAUCCACUCCUCUGACUCCUGCUGUCUACUCAGUUCAGCAACUCACAGAGAAAUAUGUAUAUUAUCUCAGGACUCUCUUCUUCCUGGCAUUCAUCGGGCU